UCCCACCUGACCCCAUGCCGAACUCAGAAGUGAAACGCCGUAGCGCCGAUGGUAGUGUGGGGCCUCCCCAUGCGAGAGUAGGGAACUGCCAGGC
rnacentral:rRNA from 3 species